GACGAACGCUGGCGGCAGGCCUAACACAUGCAAGUCGAACGCUCCAGCAAUGGAGAGUGGCAGACGGGUGAGUAACACGUGGGAACCUUCCCUAUGGUUCGGAAUAGCCCAGGGAAACUUGGGGUAAUACCGGAUAAGCCCUUCGGGGGAAAGAUUUAUCGCCAUUGGAUGGGCCCGCGUCGGAUUAGCUAGUCGGUGGGGUAACGGCCUACCAAGGCGACGAUCCGUAGCUGGUCUGAGAGGAUGAUCAGCCACACUGGGACUGAGACACGGCCCAGACUCCUACGGGAGGCAGCAGUGGGGAAUAUUGGACAAUGGGCGCAAGCCUGAUCCAGCCAUGCCGCGUGAGUGACGAAGGUCUUCGGAUUGUAAAGCUCUUUUGGCGGGGACGAUAAUGACGGUACCCGCAGAAUAAGCCCCGGCUAACUUCGUGCCAGCCGCCGCCGUAAGAC
rnacentral:rRNA from 1 species